CCUAGAUCACAGAUUUUCGUCCCGAUUGAGUCCUUGAAGGACGCGCAGUUUAUUCUCCUGCGACCGACGCGCCGCAGCCGCCUCCAGGACGCCGGCGUACCCUUCUCCCAGGAGCUAAAAGUCUACAGAAGGAAGCUAGCUAUGAGGACUCCUGGUCAUGCUAAGAAGGUGAAAAAUGUGACGAAUGAUGUAAUUAACGGCAAGCGGGGCAUGAUCUACAUUCCAGACCAGAAGAUUUCAAAAUUGACCUUAACAAAAGACAUAAAGGGUCUGAAGCGGAGCGCCGUGACGCCAAGAAAAACAAGGGGCAUUUGAAGAAGCAAAAGCUGAGGAAGAAGAAGCCCGCUCCCAAGAGUGCAAAAUGAAGGCGAGUGAAAGCCAUGACUCAAGUCACACGCACCUGCUGAACCAACUGUCUCCUUAGCGUCUUAAUAUCAUACGUAAAAUUUAAGCUUUGUACUGGCUACCUUAAAGUUACUGCUGGGUUUGAACACCUUAAUCAUCCCAACAAUCUUUUGAGAGUAGUUUCUCCCAAAUGCAAGGUCUUGUUUAUGGGUUAGGUAGUUUUGUAGCGAUUUUUUCUUUUAUCAGUAGAUUUUUAAUUUAGUGCUGCUAUU